GAUGAAGAACGCAGCGAAAUGCGAUAAGUAGUGUGAAUUGCAGAAUUCAGUGAAUCAUCGAAUCUUUGAACGCACAUUGCGCCCCUUGGUAUCCCGAGGGGCAUGCCUGUUCGAGCGUCAUUUCACCACUCAAGCCUGGCUUGGUGUUGGGCGACGUCCCCUUUAGGGACGCGCCUCGAAACGCUCGGCGGCGUGGCACCGGCUUUAAGCGUAGCAGAAUCUUUCGCUUUGGAAGUCGGGGCCCCGCCUGCCGGAAUACCUACUCGUAAGGUUGACCUCGGAUCAGGCAGGGAUACCCGCUGAACUUAAGCAUAUCAAUAAGGGAGGA
rnacentral:misc_RNA from 1 species